CGAGAUACCUCCCUCCCUUCCUCCUCCGCGACAAAUCACCGCCCGCCUCUCCGCCACGAACCCCCGCCUCUCCCUCCCUUCGUCUCUCUUCUCCCACACUUUUAAAACUUAUUAGUUAUAGUUUAGUUAUUAUUAUUAUUAUUAUUCAUCAGCGAUAUUUUGAAGGAAAAAAAAACUAGUUAGCUCCAAACAGGCAUGAUAAAUUGUUUAUUGACUAAUUAGCAUUUUCGUUGAAUGAAAUAACAUCAUAUUGUAAUGUUGCCUUAUUGUUUAGAAGCCAUUUGAGUGACUUCAGCUUAUCAUGCUUCCUCAUGAUGGUUUAUUUUGCAGCUAUUGUGUACAAGGAAAUUCAUAUUUAGGAAAGGCAGCAGCAACAUUGAAUUUACUUAACCAUUGUGUACUGUUAUGUUUGAAAUAUGAGAAAUGUAAUGCUCAGUGUAAAAAUUGGUCACGAGUGUUUAAACUAUGAGUGGUCCACAUUAGGAAAAAUGAUGCCCAUUUGUCAAUUCAUGCUUACGGUACCACUUUAUAAAUCAUUCCUUAAGAUAGGUUAAUGACAUUUUAGUCAUUUGAUUUGGAUUUGGUUUGGAUUUGAUUUGGAUUGGGAUCCUAACAGUUAACUUCUUAUCCUUUGAUCAGGUCCAAGAGCUCGCUGGAAACAAGAGAGAACAAGAAGAGGUGUAGGAAAACACCCCUGCUGACGAUGAGUAGAUGAGGAUUUUGAAAAAAAAAUGUAAUGACUAUUGAUUGUAGUAUGAUUUUUGUUCAUUCUAGAAUUUGUGUAAAUUUGUUGUUGUGUAAAUUAGUGUAAAUUUGUUUUUUUGCCAAGUUCUUUGAACCUGUCAAUACUCUUGUCAGGUUUGGAAUGAGAUAAUGCAUUGAUUGAAUUUGAUA